ACGGGAGGCAGCAGUGGGGAAUAUUAGGCAAUGGGGGCAACCCUGACCUAGCAACGCCGCGUGAAGGAAGAAGGCCUUCGGGUUGUAAACUUCUUUUAUAGGGGACGAAACAAAUGACGGUACCCUAUGAAUAAGCCACGGCUAACUACGUGCCAGCAGCCGCGGUAAUACGUAGGUGGCAGGCGUUGUCCGGAUUUGCUGGGUGUAAAGGGCGCGUAGGCGGGAUUGCAAGUCAGAUGUGAAAUCCAUGGGCUCAACCCAUGAACUGCAUUUGAAACUGUGAUUCUUGAGUAUCGGAGAGGCAAGCGGAAUACCUAGUGUAGCGGUGAAAUGCGUAGAUAUUAGGAAGAACACCGGUGGCGAAGGCGGCUUGCUGGACAGAGACUGACGCUGAGGCACGAAAGCGUGGGGAGCAAACAGGAUUAGAUACCCUGGUA
rnacentral:rRNA from 1 species